CACAAUUAGGAAAAACGGGAAAAUAUCGAACAAUUAAACACAAUUCCCUGAUUAAAUCCGGUACAAUAAACUAAGUGCAGUCAAUAAAAAUAUCGACUCAUCAAAAUAGACCACACUUAGUCUUUUGCACUCCUGGGCAAAAUCAAGACACAAAACAGGGAACAGUACUGAGGACAUUAGGGAAUGACACAGACUCGACAGAUAAACAACAAAGACUCACAAAACAAAAACAGGGUUGCACAAUUCUCACAAAAUCUGGACAAUGAAAGGCAUAGGCAGAAUCCCCACAGAGAGUCAAUGAAAGCAGAUACUCACAGAAUCAUCCAAACAGUUCAGUACAUGGAAAACAAUCAAUCAGUUCAAGAGAUGAAUCAAAAGCAACAAAGCCUCACAGAUGCACACAAUCAGUGUUUCUCUCAAGUGUCUAAGGUAAAUCAAUGUCACUCGAUGCACUCAAGAAAGCAAACACAAAUAGACUUGGCAAGCCUCUAAUAUCAACACUCAAGCACACAUGCAUGUUCAAAUCAAAAGGUCUUUCAUGGUUGUAAUGGGGCCAAGGGCAAGGGAGGAUAUCAUAUGGAUAAGAAGCUACCAACCAAAAGGAACAGAGGAG
rnacentral:lncRNA from 1 species